CCCUCUGUGUGACAUCUAAAUUCAUAGUGGCAUAGAUUAGCCCCAUUUUCAGUUCAACAACCCUUUAACCUUUCCAUUUCUGUUGAGGGUUAGUCCCCCAAACGCAAACUGAUCGCAUGUAGCAUUUGAUUGACAGCUAAGCCAAGUUGCACUUUGUACGUGAUCUUGUCAGCAUUGCAAUUGGAUACAUUGCCCCCUCCUCGUCGCCGCAUGAAUCACGAUCGCCGCUUGGGUGCAAACCCUAAAAAUAAACUCAAUGUUUGGAUACGCCCAACAAGAGCAGCCGCAGCAGCAGCAGAAGCAGAAGCAGAAGCAGAAGCAGAAAAAACAAUUAAACGGGCACUUAGACACUGAGAAAUUAAUUUCAUUUGGGAUCGCAGAGGAUCAUUGAUAAUGAUCGGGAGCUCUUAGGUUGAUUGACAGUUGCGAGUUAUUGUUUUCAAUGUCAAGUUCAAGUUCAUGAAACACAAUCUUUUUGGGGGGCAUUUAGAUGCAUUUGUCAUUGAUCAUGCCAGCGAUCAUGUCGCUUUCCUGUUGCUGCUCUUGCCGUUGAUGAUCGUGGUAUUUGCCUCGGCCGCUGUCUGUUCAGGCGUAUCAAAUAUGCAGGAAGUGCAAGCCAUAACCAAUUGCAUUAGUCUCGGCACCGGGCACCGGGCACCAGGCAUGGGGCAACAUAUCAAAGCUGCCUGGCGCCUUGGCCAGCUUUGGCUAACUUGGCAAAACCUGACUGAUCUUAUUCACAGGGAAAUAGAGAGAGAGAGCGAGCGAGAUAGAGAGAGAGGGGGCUGUAGCACCUCUAAUUGUCAUGCAAAUACCAAUUAUCAUUUGUCAGUAAUGCCACUUAGAAUAAUGUGUCUAUGUAUAAUUAAAUGCCAGCGACUGAUUCUUUGAUCGAUCAUUACCAACCAGCUACAAUCUACAAUCUACAAUCUACAAUCCACAAUCUACGAUCUACGAUCUGCAAUUUACGAUCAGCGAUCGUCGCGAUAUAGAUCAGAACUCAUGAACUAAGCUCUCGCUGAUUAAUUCAUUAGCAACUGUCGACCAGUUUGUCAGUUACACGCAUUUGACAACAGGCCUUACUAUAUGAACUUGCCGUUGAUCGUGCUUAUAACGAAUUGUCAUUAUAUAAAGAAUUGUCAAGGCAGAAAAUCUUUGUUUUUAUGCCUGUCGUCUAUGCUACAUGAAGUAUUGCUUAAUUAGCUCUACGAUUUGCAUAUGUCAAAGCAAAGAACUCACCCAAUGGUCAGCAUAUUGCCUCUCUAACAGCUCUACAUGGCAUAGUAAAGCCAUAAUUAAUGUGGAUUCUAAUUAAUUUUCUGUAUGCAGAUUCGAAUGGAAUAUACCCUAGGAAUAUGCAUAUGUAUGUAUUCACAUAUAUAAAUAUUUUAUUAAAAUUCCCAAAGACUUGACUGUCACUCACAAAUUUUAACCCUAAACAAAAUUAUACAGAUAAUAAUGGCAUAUUUUUAUAAAAAACUUGUUACUCAUUUAAGAACUUGUCUGGGAUCCACAGCAUUUCAAGCGCCUCUUCUUAUUGGAUUCUAUGUGUAUAACUAUAUAGAUUGGCCGAAACGCGCUCGUGCAUUCGAAAAUCGUUUAUACGGCAAAGCUUCCGGAGAAAUCAACGACGAAUUUCAAGGAAGAUAAGGUCCAAAGGAGUUAUAGAAACCCCAAUUUGAUUCUUGCUAGGCGAAAUAAUUAUCGUGAUGAUGAGAGCCUGGACGUUUAUGAAUGCGCAAAGCCAAAUUCACGCAGUCAAAUGCAAGUCUACGAUUCUAACUGCUCUUUUCAAUUGACUUUGAUUUGGGGAAUAUUUUAAGCAAAUUUAAGCUACACGUACAACAAUUAUUAAUAAAACAAUUGCAUCCUGAGAAAACAAGCUCCUGGCGAGAGCUUCAGGUAAAGAAGGAAGCAAAUGGUUACAUAUUAACCGUUCUCUA